rnacentral:misc_RNA from 1 species
GUGAAUCAUCGAAUCUUUGAACGCAAAUUGCACUCUCCGGUUUUCCGGGAGAGUAUGCCUGUUUGAGGGUCAGCCUAAAUAAAAUCGGCUCAGUAGUUUGCUGUGUUUUUCACGGUAACGUUGGUCGGAAUUUGGGUCAUCUUAAACCGAAAGGUUUUUAAGCGCUUUAAAUUUUUCUUUACGAUCUCGCGAACGUUUCAAAGAUUUCUUUGUAGGUUC